ensembl:lncRNA SCN1A-AS1 SCN1A and SCN9A antisense RNA 1
AGGCUGGGAGUUUGCAUGGAAAUCAUGAAGUCUUUCUUGUCUUCCUCUUUUGAAAUAUUUUGGAAGGCGAGUUAAGAAUAGCUCAGAAACUGGUCUCAUUCUUUUUGUGGGAAGAAUGACCAGAAGCAUAAAAGCUAAGUCUUCCAGCAAGUGCAAGACACCUCUUUUGGUGUUUGCAGUAAACCUAACAAGAAUGAAUUGCUAUCAGUAAAGUCCUGUACCAUGACACCUAAAAGGAAGGAAAUGGUAAAGCAAAGUAAUAACUCAAAGACAGUCACCGAGGGCUUUUGUCCACCUUUAACUCAUUGUGGAACUUGACAUCAUCAGACAGUAAAUCAAGAGGUACUGACAACUGAGACUGAGUGAUGGUCCCUGCCUAGGAUUUGGAAUCUUUGCAUGAAAUAGGGACUCUAGCCACCAGCGACAAAGAAGUCAGGGAGACUGCGGUCUCUAGGAAGCACUUCCAGGAAACAGGAAUUCAGGCAAAGUUGGACAUUCCAAAGAUGGCGUAGAUGAACAUGACCAGGAAGAGCAGGAGGCCGAUGUUAAACAACGCAGGAAGGGACAUCAUCAAAGCAAAGAGCAGCGUGCGGAUCCCCUUUGCUCCUUUGACUAGACGUAGGAUUCGGCCAAUCCUGGCAAGACGGAUCACUCGGAACAGGGUAGCAGAGAUCUCUGGAGGUGAAACAUUGCUCUGAACUGGCAUUGAUUCUAGCCCAGCUCUUGUAGACCAAUUACCAACUUGCAAAGGGUUAUCAACUGUGCUGCACUCUGAGGAGCUUGACCGGUUUAAUCUCUAGAAAGGAAUUCACCACCCCACCAGCACGCGGAACACAAUCAGGAAGGAGUGGAAGAAGUCGUUCAUGUGCCACCGUGGGAGCGUACAGUCAUCAUUGAUCUUGCAGACACAUUCUUUGUAGCUCUUACCAAAGAGCUGCAUGCCGACCACAGCAAAAAUGAAGACGAUGAUGGCCAACACUAAGCCUUUAGACUAAAAAGAAAACAAAUAUUACAUACCCUGAAUCUGUGCUGAAACCACAAAGGAGAGCAUCUUUGGAUCCUUCCAAGUAAUAAAAAUAUUCUGUUGAAGAAGAAUUUGAACAGUUAUAACAUCACAGACUUUAAUCUGUGAUUGUGAUAAAGGAGGUCAAAUUAAAAAAUCUGAUUAUUGGGAGACUUUUGGAGUAAUCAUGGAAGAAAGACUAUGAAAUCAGAUAUUCUUGGAUUUGAAUGUUGCUUCUAUCCCUUCUUAAACAUUCCAUGCUGGAAAAAUCAGACCCCAGAGGUUUGCUGUUAUUGGAACACUGUGCUGCCUGAGAUUUUCAUAAAUUUGCCGUUUCAAAAAGCUGAAAGUACUUACGCAAAAACAAUGACGACAAAAUCCAGCCAGUUCCACGGGUCACGAAGAAAAGUGAAUUCUCCUACACAGAAGCCUCUUGCAAGGAUUUUUACAAGUGAUUCAAAAGUAUAUAUUCCAGUAAAAGUGUACCUAAACACAAGAUUCCAUUGGGAUACUAGAUGUGAAAAGAAUACAACCACCAUGUAAAUCUUUAUAACUUAUUUUCUCUAAUUAACCACUGGAAGACAUAUAUUGGAGGAUGGCUGUUGGGUUAUGGACACACCCUAUUAAACUACAAUAGGUCUAUCCAGAAAAUAUUAAAAUGUCAAUAUCAGAAACACUCCCAGAAAGCAGAGGUACUUGAAAUAACUAAGAAUAUAGGUCUCAGAUCUGCCUAAAAAUUUCCUACAUUGCUUCUAUCAAAAAUUCACCCAAUCAUUUAAAAAUACACCCAUAUAAUUAUAAAACAUACACCCAAGAAUAAAAUAUGUGUAACAUGUCUAAGAACAGGAUGGAGCAUCUGACAAGUUCAUUCUUUGAGAAAACACUGUAGCAUCUAAUUUUUCUAAUCUAGCAGGUUAAUAUCAUAGAGGAGGUAAAGAACAAAAGAAAAGCAAGCAUAUAACAUGGGAAGGUAAAGAUUCCCCAUCUUCAUAAAUGCAGUAACUUCCUGGCAGGAAAAGGAAAGGAUGAAAUGAUAAUACCAAAACUAUAUUAAAAUGUACUUAUACCCACUUACUCGACAUUUUUGGUCCAGUCCGGUGGGUUAUUCAUGGUCAUAAAUAUGCAGUUUGUCAGAAUAGUGCACAUGAUGAGCAUGCUGAAUAAGGUAGCUUAGAAUCAAGGAACAAAAGAGACGACAGUGGGAAUUUGAAAUAUUUGAGGAUGACACUUGUUGAAAUGCUUACAACUUUUCCUAAGAAAAAAAUUCUAAAUGAGCUUGUAGACUAUUUUGUCUCUUUGAACAAGAGAGUAAUAAAUAAAAGUAACAUAUCCUAAAAUCUUAAUAUUGCCACUCUCCCAGUCUUCUCUGAGACCCAUGACAAAUUAUAUUAAUAAUACUGAAAUUAAUAAACUAAAACCAGAGUCUUUCAAGGUGCAAAAGGUAUAACAUCUAUAUUUGAAUAAAAUAGCAAAAAUUACACCAUAAAGUGCCACUGGAUGUAAUCAUUUUUAAAAGGAUAUGAGUGUACUAAAAUCUUAAUAGAUAUUCUUCUUAGAGGACUGAAAGGAGAAAGCAUAUAUAAAGCAGGUGUGGCAUUGAAACGGAAGAUUGUUUUCCCUUUGUUCAAUACUAUGAAAGUCUGCAGGAGGAAAAAGAAAGGAUGAAAUUGAGAAUCCAAAAUAUCAAUUUUUCACAUCAAUAUCAGCAGUUUACCUUUCUACAUGGCAGUGUUAUAUUGAAGAAACACUGCCAUCAGACUCCAGCAAUGUGGUUCCAAUGUCAUCAACGCAUCUAUCAAUGUCACCUUGGCCAAUGAACUCCAAGUCCACUUCUUCAUAGUAACUUUAAAAAUUGAGCUAUUUGUUAGCAUGUAUUGCUUAGAGCUUUCAAAAUACUGUAUUUCAUAUUUUUCAUUUUCUUUCACCAGUAACAAUAACUGUGGUUAAGUUAUUUUAAAGUACAACUUCUUUCCCUUCCAUUACACUGCAUUUUAAGAAAGCCAAAUAGAAACUAGCUAUCUCUAAUAUUUUUAUCAUAAAACCUUGAGAAUUUUAAUACUUGCUGGCAAUUGUUAUGGUUAGCAGCACAUGUUCCAAAAUAUGAGUUAUUUCAAAAAAUAUUUUCCUAAGUUGAAGGAACGUCAGAGUUGGAAGAAUCCUUCCAAUCACUGAGUUCAAUUUCUUUAUUUUAGUUAUAAUACUAAUAUUAGCUUUUAAAAGGGACUUAAAUUAAGAGGAUUCCUCACUUACUAACCACGGUAAUUUAAAAAACGAUAUGAAUAGAAGCAAACAUUCUUGAAAUGUUAUUGUAGCCAUUCCAUAAGUGUCCUUUUCCAUAGCUUUAGUAUUCAGUUAAGAAAUAAAAACAACCAGCAGUAACAACAAAAUAUUAAAGCAACCUAAAGCAUUGGCUUAGAAAUCAGAAAGACAAAGUUCAAAUCCCAGCCUUAUUUUUCUCCGGUUGGCAGGAAGAUGACUUGUGUUAGCUGAAAGACACUGACUUUCUAAAUUUUAUAUAGGGUUAUCAGUGGGUUUCUGGCAAUAAGCAUUUCUCACCGUAUUCAGGAGGUAAGUCUGUGAGUCAGGCUUUUUAUUUGUAUGCGGCAGCGUUCCCUCAAGAAAACAAAUCAGAGUCUAUUGUUUUCAGGUGUCCUUUUAUUUUCCUGCUCCCUUUCACUGUAUCAGUUCUAUCUAAAUACAAUUUAAUGUAAAAUUCACUUUUACAUGGAAAAUUAUUUUAAAAUUAAUACCUAGUCCUCAAGUACAAUCCUUUUUGUCUUAAAUCUCAGUAGACUGUAUUUUUAAAAAAUUAUUCAUCCAUUCUUUCUGCAAUUGUAUUGACAUGGUUUGGCUCUGUGUCCCCGCCCAAAUCUCAUUUUGAAUUGUAAUCCCCACGUCUCAGGGGAGGGACCUGGUGGUAAGUGAUUGGAUCAUGGGAGCGGUUUCCCCAGUGCUGUUCUCAUGAUAGUGAGUGAGUGAGUUCUCAUGAGAUCUGAUGGGUUUAAAAGUGCGGCAUUUCCCUCCUCUUUCUCCCUCUCCUGCACCAUGUUAAGAUGUGCC